AGAGUUUGAUCCUGGCUCAGGACGAACGCUGGCGGCGCGCUUAACACAUGCAAGUCGAGCGAGAACCAGUCCUUCGGGACUGGGGAAAGCGGCGAACGGGUGAGUAACACGUGGGUAAUCUGCCCUCGGCACUGGGAUAGCCCGGGGAAACCCGGAUUAAUACCGGAUAGCCUUUCGAGUCCUCGGACUCGUCAGAAAAGGUGGCUUCGGCUACUGGCUGAGGAUGAGCCCGCGGCGGAUUAGCUUGUUGGCGGGGUAAUGGCCCACCAAGGCGACGAUCCGUAGCUGGUCUGAGAGGACGAUCAGCCACACUGGGACUGAGACACGGCCCAGACUCCUACGGGAGGCAGCAGUGGGGAAUCUUGCGCAAUGGGCGAAAGCCUGACGCAGCGACGCCGCGUGCGGGAAGAAGGCCUUCGGGUUGUAAACCGCUUUCAGGACGGACGAAGCCACUCGGGUUAAUACCCCAGAGGGUGACGGUACCUCCAGAAGAAGCCCCGGCUAACUACGUGCCAGCAGCCGCGGUAAUACGUAGGGGGCAAGCGUUGUCCGGAUUUAUUGGGCGUAAAGAGCGUGUAGGCGGCCAGGUAGGUCAGCUGUGAAAACUCGAGGCUCAACCUCGAGAUGUCGGUUGAAACCAUCUGGCUAGAGUCCGGAAGAGGAGAAUGGAAUUCCCGGUGUAGCGGUGAAAUGCGCAGAUAUCGGGAAGAACACCCGUGGCGAAGGCGGUUCUCUGGGACGGUACUGACGCUGAGACGCGAAAGCGUGGGGAGCGAACAGGAUUAGAUACCCUGGUAGUCCACGCCGUAAACGAUGGGCACUAGGUGUGGGAGGUGUCGACUCCUCCCGUGCCGGCGCUAACGCAUUAAGUGCCCCGCCUGGGGAGUACGGCCGCAAGGCUAAAACUCAAAGGAAUUGACGG
rnacentral:rRNA from 1 species